AACGAACGCUGGCGGCAGGCUUAACACAUGCAAGUCGAACGCACUUUUCGGAGUGAGUGGCAGACGGGUGAGUAACGCGUGGGAAUCUACCUAUUUCUACGGAAUAACGCAGAGAAAUUUGUGCUAAUACCGUAUACGUCCUAAUGGAGAAAGAUUUAUCGGAGAUAGAUGAGCCCGCGUUGGAUUAGCUAGUUGGUGAGGUAAUGGCCCACCAAGGCGACGAUCCAUAGCUGGUCUGAGAGGAUGACCAGCCACAUUGGGACUGAGACACGGCCCAGACUCCUACGGGAGGCAGCAGUGGGGAAUAUUGGACAAUGGGCGCAAGCCUGAUCCAGCCAUGCCGCGUGAGUGAUGAAGGCCCUAGGGUUGUAAAGCUCUUUCACCGGUGAAGAUAAUGACGGUAACCGGAGAAGAAGCCCCGGCUAACUUCGUG
rnacentral:rRNA from 1 species